rnacentral:rRNA from 1 species
UACGGAGGGUCCAAGCGUUAUCCGGAAUCAUUGGGUUUAAAGGGUCCGUAGGCGGUUUUGUAAGUCAGUGGUGAAAGCCCAUCGCUCAACGGUGGAACGGCCAUUGAUACUGCAAGACUUGAAUUAUUGGGAAGCAACUAGAAUAUGUAGUGUAGCGGUGAAAUGCUUAGAGAUUACAUGGAAUACCAAUUGCGAAGGCAGGUUGCUACCAAUACAUUGACGCUGAUGGACGAAAGCGUGGG